GGUGAUGGAUGCCUUGAGAUGGAGAGCCUGAGGCGAUGAGGUGGCACCCCGGGGCGGCCAGGGGAGUUCUGAGGGGAUGAAGACCCUGAGGGGAUUUGGGGGACACCUUGAAGGGUCCCUGAGGUGGUGAGGGGACACCCCAAGGCGUCCUUGAGGUGAUGGGGGGCAAGGAAGUUCUGAGGUGAUGAAGACCCUGAAGGGACACCCCAAAGGGACUCUGAGGUGAUGGAGACCCUCAGGUGAUGGGGGAACACCCCAAAGAGUCCCUGAGGUGGUGAGGGAACACCUCAAAAGGUCUCUGAGGUGAUUGAGGGAUACCCCAAAGGUUCCCUGAGGUGGGUCCCUCAGGGACCCUGAGGUGAUGGAGAACCUGGGCUGGGGGGCUCUGAGAUAAUGGGGUCACACCCCACAUGGCCCCUGGGGUGACAUGAGAUUAAAAAAAUGCCAUGAGAACAGAACAAAAGCCCCAAAAAUGCUCUGGUGGCAGUGAGACUUGGGACUGGCUCUGCCACUGAAGCACUAGUGACCCUGAUAACAUCACCUGUAUAAAUAAAUAAAUAUAAAUAAUAAAAAAAAAUCCCUCUUGGGAAUGAAUUUCGUUUCCAAUUUAGGGAAUGAAACAACACUGACAGAGAUUUUUGAGAGGUGCAGAAGCAGAAAAAAAAGGAUCCACGAUGGAGCAGGAUCUCAGUGCAGCCACCUCUACCUCUGAGAAAACAACCAACCUUCCAAACUGGGAUUUGACAGCCAAAAUGAGGAUUUUUUCAGGGAAAAAAGAGUAAUUUUGGCCGUCAAGGGAAUGAAAGGAGCAGCUGAAUCCCUCAUUUCCAGAAAGCAGCAGCAAGUUUUGCUGGGACAGAAAGGACUAAAUGCUCCUCAUCCUCAUUCUCUGGAAAGCCACUUUUUACUUCAUCUAAAAAACCUGUUUUAAGACAAAUUCUUUCUGUUUUCUUUGCUGUUCAGACCCUUAUGGGCAAGGAACCAACAAUUUUUUUUUUUUUUUGCUUUUAUUGCCCAAAUCCUUCCUUAUUCCAUGGAAUCUGAAGCCAUCAGGACUUCUCAAAUGGUGAGCAGGGACAGGAUAUUUAUUAUCUACCUUAAAAACAAUGGGAUAAAGCAGCUGGAAUUCUCUCAGUGCCAGGCAAAGCUCCUGCCAGGCUUAUUUAUUUUAUUUUUUAAUUUAUCCAGAGCCUUCAUUGGGAGGCAGCAGAUUUUGACACUCCCAUCAGCUACAGAGGAUGAAGGCAAGGUAAGAAUGUGCCAGGAACAGGGAAAUUAGAGGAUUCCUCGAUUAUUUUUCACAGGGAAAUGUUUGCUUUGGGGGCAUAAAGCUCUUGAAGCAAAUCCAAGGCAAGACUGGAGAUUUACAACACAACCCUCACUGUGCAGGGACAACUCCUCCCAAAAUCCAGCCUUUUAUUGGGAUGAAAUACAACAAAACACCGAUGUGGAUAUAAAAAAUAGAAAUUGAAGAGAUGUCUGUAGUCUUCUGGAAUUCCUCUUUUCCCUGCGUGAAA